AGGGAUGGUGCUUCCUUGAGAGAUGCGCAGUGGGAGGGAGCGUCCCGGCCGCCGACGCACACACAGAGCACGUCCCUGGAGCAUGGUACAUACCAUAUUUGCGAAACAGAGCUUGGCGCGUCUGCAUAACUCAUUGCUGUGGAAAGAGUCAUCAGGAUGAUGUAUUGAAACACAGCCAUCUCCAUUAUGUAUUUUAUAGGUGAAGAGGAGAGCAGCCACUCCCAACUGUGAGUCCCUCGAAGGAAGCCAAAGCACGGGCUGUACUCGGAACAACACGUGAACUAAGGACAAGCUCCUCGGUGUCCGUAAAUCAGCAUCUCUCUGCUGACUCUACUGAAGCUACACUGAUUUACUCCAGAUCUGAAACGACUAUAUUCAUUUUUUUAACUGAACCUUAUUCUUUGCUGAUGUGACAUCUAUGAAGGUCGCAGAUAUGUCUGUGUGAUGCCGUAUGAAAGGAGACAGCACAAGGAGGUAGUCUUCAGUAAAAAAAAGAGACAGUUGAUUCAGAAAAAGUCCCAGUACCGCUACGCACGUGCCCGUACUCCUCCAUCACUUGAAGGCACUGACUGUACAUCCGUAAGCCCAGACGUGGACGUGCCGUUCAUUCACCCCGAAUAACGCUGCUGAGAUUGUCAAAAAAGGGGGCUUUUAGUACAGGCUGUGGUAAUGCUGCUGGGAUUUGGACACAAGGCUGUUAAGAGCCAUUUAUCACGUUUUUUCAGUAUUUCAGAAGUACUGGUUUUCUUGAGAAAACAGAAGUUGGACUAAUGCUCAUAUGCAAAUUGCAUCUUGCUGAAAUCCAUGAAACUGCUCGUAGACUGGAGAACUCUUCUGAGUAAAGCAGGGUCCCCGCUAACUUUAUCUGUUAUUCACCAUUUUCCUUACUGAACAACAAGAGCUUCUUUUCUGUCUAAUUAGAAGGACAACAUCUCGUUACUUCUUCGCGGUGUGAUGAAUUCCCCAGACACAGAAGACUAAACUUGGCAGUGGUGUGAAAUGGCCCUGUGGUCAGGAGCUCCGUCGGUGGCUGGAGGUGGACACGCAGACUCACCCAGGCUCAGCAGUGUCCCGGGGAGCCCGCGGGCUCGGACACUAGCCACGGGCCAGGCUCUGCUAGCCGUACUCUAGCUUGGGGAGUCCCUCUUCCCUCAAGGAGUCAGAGGGAGAAGAAAUAUUGGAUGGUGAUGUACUCCUCUUUGUGGAUUAAAAGACAAAAUCUAGCCGUAUGCUCAUACUCAACCUUUAUAUGUAAAUUAGAAUCAAGAAGCACCCACCCAAAUAUUAAGAAAGUCCUGAUUGCAUAAGAACUCCAUUAAGUAAGGUAGCAUCCGCCACCUAGGGAGUCACGCAAGAAAUGCAGGGAAACACCUAUGAUUAAAAUUGUAAAUAAAGUUUUCCACUUAAGUGUAAACAGCUCAUAUCCAGUUUCCCCUGCACCUGCCAGGAGGCAACCGGAUCUCGGUGCCAAGGCCAUCGCCGAGAAGGGAUGCCACCCUUCCUCCCACAGAAAACUCCAGAACGGGGCAGCAGAGCUCACGAGCACCACUUUGUCUUCACGGCAAAUAUUGCUGUUUUAACAUGGAAAGAGAACAGGAGUGCACCAGUGAGUACUGCUGACCAGGCCAUGUGCUUGCGUCUUGCCGAUGAUGUCCAAGCAGCAGGACGAGGAGCACGGAGAGCAGAACAUCGGCAGCCACCAGAGAUCCCUGCUCUGGUUCGGCCCCAUUCUCCAAUGGAGCCAUGCACACGCGUUGUCUCAGUUUGUAAUCCUUACACUGGCAAAUUCCUUCCCUACUCACAGAGCAAAGCAACGAAGAUGGAGACCCUAUGGCGUGCAGUCUCUGAAUGAGGAGCGGGUGUCAGCCCAAACCCACGGGCACGGCACGGGCUGGGGCAGGGCAGCGCCUGUCCCACCACCGCCGAGCACGGUCCAUGUCUCGGGUUAUGAAGAACACGCUGCUCGAUCUCACUUUUUGGUUAAUAAUCUUGGCUUGUGCUAGCUGUUUUUAACCUGAUGUUCCUCUUUUUCUCUCAUCUAUCUCUGUCCGUUUCUUACUGUCUUGAAAAAUAAAGCAAUCGUCACUGGAAAUGCCAGGUCAAGACAUGAAAACAAAGAGUUUACUCCUACAGUAAGAGCACAAGUCCUCAUGGUAAACUCCGUCCGACAAUCUCUCGAUCACCACUACAGCAAAAACAUAAGUAAUUUAUUCAAUAAAUUCUGCCUCAUUUUCUUGUCACAAAUUGCCAGUAUUCACUAUUCAGUUCUUCACAAAGUAAUUUCUGCAGACAAUUCUUGAUCUGAAGUUCAUUUGUAGUUCAUCUUCAGAAUUAAUUUCUUUUUGUUGGACACAUUAAUGGCAUAUUACUUGUAAUUCUUCUAAUGAGGCUUCCAGCAUGAACACUUGCAUUUACAAGUUCAAAAUAGGUUUUAUGAAAAUAUUCCCCACUUGCUUAAAACUGAUUUACAAAAAUGUCCAAGUAAAUUGCUAAAUAUUCAUGAGAAGUGGAUAUAAAAUACCCCUGAACAAAAAUGAAAUCAGCCAGCCAAAUAUUUCUGGCUGGGAGAAGAGGGAAGCUGGUGGGACAUUAAGGUCCCCCUGUUCGUUGUCCCAUCCAGGGGACCCCAUGGUGGAUGGACUGCUGGGUCACCACCACAGCUAACUCCAGCCUGGUGACUGUCAGUUUUUAGGUCUUUCCUCAACUGUGGUUAUAAUUCCUCCAUCCUAAUUCCAACACAGUCACAGUUCAUGUAAGACAUGGGUUGACCUCUUGGAGCCGUGCUCCAUUACUGGUUUCGGUUCAGCAGCAUAACAAGGAGAAAGCUCUGCCCAGAAACCUUGUGAAUAAAGGGGAAGACAAAUUCUUUUGUUCUCUGGAUAAAAGAGAUGUGUGCAGGCUACGGGAGAUGCCAGCUGGGGCUGGGUCUUCCUUCUCACUGCUUUCUCACCGCCUAGCCCCAGAACCGCAGUCUGGAGGCCAAGGUGGUGGCCAAGAGCUGGUCCCGCUCUCGGUGGGCUCCCCCGUCCCUGGCAUCCAGGGAAGAAUUCCAGGGCUUCACAUAAACCUAAGAUUUUUGUGGCGUGUGGAAUGUUGUUUCUUUUUGUGGGUUUCCUUUCCCUCCUCCGUGACCGCUGUCACGCCGUCGCUGCGCUCAGCUCAAGGUACCUGCAGGAGCUGAAGCUCCGGCGAGCGGCUGCUCCCGAGCAGCCUGCGGAGCUCCGUCUGACAAACGCAUUUCUCCAAGGCGUCUGGUGAGUGCUCUUCCCUACCUCUGUUUUCCCAGUAACAUUCUAGGUUACAUGUUGU